rnacentral:rRNA from 1 species
GUACACUCCUACGGGAGGCAGCAGUGGGGAAUUUUGGACAAUGGGCGAAAGCCUGAUCCAGCAAUGCCGCGUGAGUGAAGAAGGCCUUCGGGUUGUAAAGCUCUUUUGUCAGGGAAGAAACGGUGAAAGCUAAUAUCUUUUGCUAAUGACGGUACCUGAAGAAUAAGCACCGGCUAACUACGUGCCAGCAGCCGCGGUAAUACGUAGGGUGCAAGCGUUAAUCGGAAUUACUGGGCGUAAAGCGUGCGCAGGCGGUUUUGUAAGUCUGAUGUGAAAUCCCCGGGCUCAACCUGGGAAUUGCAUUGGAGACUGCAAGGCUAGAAUCUGGCAGAGGGGGGUAGAAUUCCACGUGUAGCAGUGAAAUGCGUAGAUAUGUGGAGGAACACCGAUGGCGAAGGCAGCCCCCUGGGUCAAGAUUGACGCUCAUGCACGAAAGCGUGGGGAGCAAACAGGAUUAGAAACCCUUGUAGUCCCAUGA